AGUGAAUGUGUGGGUUAUGUCAUUGCAGAGUGACAUAAUGAGAUUUUGAUGAGUCUCUGCUUUGUAAUCUGUGCAGACAUGAGUGGCAUGGAGUACAGCUCUUAGUAAAGGAUUGAAUGCUUAAAUGGGGCCAGGCUUUAGGUUUUACCUGGGUUUUCUGUUUCUCUCACAGGCUGGGCUUGAAGCAGGAGGAGUCCCAGGAGCAGAGUCUGGUGCAGGAGGAUGCUGAGAACAGGACAGGCCUCUCUGCUCCAGCGGAGGCGAGGCUGCCACGUGGGCCUGCGGUGCGGCAGAGGGACGGGCGCUUCCGCAAGCGCUCCCGGGCUGACCUGCGGUGCCGGGCCAGGAGGAGCCUCUACAAACUGCGGGAGCCGGAGCAAGUGGAGGCUUCCAAAGAGGCUGCAGCCGUGGGGCAGGAGCCCUCAGCACAGAAAGAGACAAAGCCUGAGGCAGACCCGAAGAAAGAUGAGCCGAGCCCUUCACCGGCGGCACCACAGCCAGAGAGCUCCGACCUGCCCCUCUCUCCAGAGACCUCCAAGUUACACAGUAAAGCGGAAGAUCCAUCGUUGGCAGCUGCAAACAGGAUUCCCAGCUUGCCCCAGGAGAACUCUGCUCCGGAGCCCAAGGACCAGAAGAGGAAAUGCUUUGAGGAGGCUGCCUCCGCGUCCUUCCCCGAAAAGAAGCCCCGGCUUGAAGAUCGUCAGUCCUUUCGUAACACAAUUGAAAGUGUUCACCCAGAAAAGCCACAGCCUACUAAAGAGGAGCCAAAGGUCCCACCCAUCCGGAUUCAACUUUCACGUAUUAAACCACCCUGGGUGGUUAAAGGUCAGCCCGCUUACCAGAUAUGCCCCCGCAUCAUCCCCAGCACGGAGCCCCCCAGCCGCGGCAGGGCCGGCGCCCGGACACNNNNNNNNNNNNNNNNNNNNAGAGAGCUCAUGGAAAGCGUUCGGCAGAUCUGCAGCGAGCACAACUACUGCCGCCCGCCUGUGUGAGCGCAGAUGCUCUGGGGGCUGCUGCACAUCCCCUCUCUUCAACACAAGACUCCCUCUCCUCAAGGAGCCAGGGCAGUGGUGCUCGGGAGUGCACUGCAGGCGCUCAGCCUGCGGAUGGCUCACCCAAGGGGCAGUUCUGUGGUGCUUUGACUGGGUCAUCCUGCAAGGAGGAGAGUCCUGAGCAGCCCCACUGUGACCCACGGACCGAAAUCCCAUCUUGUGUUGCAUCACAGGAGGGGCAAAGUGCAAAGCUGAAAAGCGUGGCUCCUGCAGUGAACGGUCUGUCGUGUUCCCGGGUGCAGGGAGCUGUGAUCAGUCCUACAGGCGAUGGGGCUGUGUCGGGACUCGGGGGUGCUGCUGCCCCUGCCUUGCAGCUGGGUUAUCAUUCUGACGUAAAGGAACAUUCCUCGGGGUGUCCUGCUCCUCUGCCAGCACCGUCCUCGGGCAGCAGCGAGUGCCAUGAGCCAGGAAAGGUCUCGAGAUUCAGAUUUAAUGGCUCUGAAGCGUUUGCAGAGAAAUGUGUCACUGAUAGAGAUGGCUCCAAAGCAGGGACUGCUGGAGUGGAGGAGGCCAGCCCUGCGCUGGGGGACCUGGCACAUCUGCAGGCAGAGGAAGGCAGCGAUGGCAAACUGGGCAAUGGAGAGCAGAAUGCAGAGGCUGUGGUGAGAGCCUCUUUACACGGUGACUUUGUUUCUCAGAACAGGAUAGACACCUCUGAAACACCUGAGCAACCACAGGAGAGGAGCCCCUCAACAGGACCAGAAAACACACUUCAGCCAUUGAGGGAGACCCAGGAGUUGAAGACAAGCAGAGAUGAGGAAGUGCAGAGUACACACAGUGAAACGACAGACACUGCUUCAGACUUUGAAGGUGACG
rnacentral:lncRNA from 14 species